rnacentral:rRNA from 1 species
UACGUAGGUGGCAAGCGUUGUCCGGAUUUACUGGGCGUAAAGAGCGCGCAGGCGGUCGUUCAAGUCGCGUGUGAAAGCCCCCGGCUUAACUGGGGAGGGUCAUUCGAUACUGAUCGACUUGAAGGCAGGAGAGGGAAGCAGAAUUCCCGGUGUAGUGGUGAAAUGCGCAGAUAUCGGGAGGAACACCAAUUGCGAAGGCAGCUCGCUGGGACGUCACUGACGCUGAGACGCGAAAGCGUGGGGAGCAAACAGG